rnacentral:rRNA from 1 species
AUUGAACGCUGGCGGCAUGCCUUACACAUGCAAGUCGAACGGUAACAGGUUAAGCUGACGAGUGGCGAACGGGUGAGUAAUACAUCGGAACGUGCCCAGACGUGGGGGAUAGCUCGGCGAAAGCCGGAUUAAUACCGCAUAAGCUCUGAGGAGGAAAGCGGGGGACCGUAAGGCCUCGCGCGUUUGGAGCGGCCGAUGGCAGAUUAGGUAGUUGGUGGGGUAAAGGCUUACCAAGCCUACGAUCUGUAGCUGGUCUGAGAGGACGACCAGCCACACUGGGACUGAGACACGGCCCAGACUCCUAUGGGAGGCAGCAGUGGGGAAUUUUGGACAAUGGGCGCAAGCCUGAUCCAGCAAUGCCGCGUGCAGGAAGAAGGCCUUCGGGUUGUAAACUGCUUUUGUACGGAACGAAAAGGCUCUGGUUAAUACCUGGGGCUCAUGACGGUACCGUAAGAAUAAGCACCGGCUAACUACGUGCCAGCCGCCGCAGUAACAC